UUUCUCCGUGGUAGUUGUCUGCAGACUGCAGAACUGCUAAAACACUAGUUAAAUGGCUAAGCCGAUGCUAAAUUCGACACCGAAAUUAAAGGAUUAUAUAUUUGCCGAAAAACUUGGCAGUGGGAGUUAUGCAACUGUAUAUAAAUCAUGUAGAAAGACUGGUGUUAGAGAAGUGGUGGCUAUUAAAUGUGUAUUGAAAAGUACACUAAACAAAAGAUCAACAGAAAAUUUACUCACUGAAAUUGAAUUAUUGAAAAAAUUAAAACAUGAACACAUUGUAGAGUUGAAAGACUUCUUGUGGGAUGAUAAAUUCAUUUAUCUCAUCAUGGAGUAUUGCAUUGGUGGAGACUUAUCACACUUCUUGAGAAAGAAGAGAGCUUUGCCAGAACUUGCUGUACGUCGGUUCCUGCAACAAAUAGCACUUGCCAUUCAUUUUUUAUGGAGUAAUAAUGUUGCUCACAUGGACCUAAAACCACAGAACAUACUCUUAACUUCCUCAGAGAACCCAAUACUAAAGAUUGCAGAUUUUGGAUUUGCUAAACAUAUAUUAGAAGGUACUGAAAUGCAUUCUAUGAGAGGUUCUUUAUUAUAUAUGGCACCAGAAAUCCUCUGCAAGCGGAAAUAUGACAGUCGAGUGGACCUGUGGUCUAUAGGCGUCAUUUUUUAUGAGUGCCUUUUUGGCCAAGCACCAUUUGCAUCGAGAAGUUUUACAGAACUGGAAGAAAAAAUCACUGGUAGCUGGCCUAUUGCGCUUCCAUAUGGAGUUGAAGUUUCAGACAAUUGUCGUGAUUUACUCCUCUCCUUGUUAAAAAGGGACCCAGAGAAACGGAUCAAAUUCACUGAGUUUUUCUGCCAUCCAUUUAUUGAUCUGGUUCAUGCGCCAUCUUCAGAAUCUUUGGAAAAAGCUACUAAAUGUAUUAGCACUGCUGUGACCGAAGAUAAAGCUGGUAAUAUUCCCACAGCUUUGGAACAUUACAGUGAUGCACUGGAACAUUUCGUGGCAGCAGUACACUAUGAAAGAGACUUUAUGAAGAAGAAAGCCCUACAAGAAAAGGUACAAACAUAUUUUAAUCGUGCAGAGGAGUUGAAGCAAACUUUAAAACCCAAAUCAUCACCUAAUCAGAAGACCCUCCAACGAAGUACCAGUUGCAGCGCUGCUGAGACCUCGUCACUAAAACCACUUGAUGAACUAAUGAUCCUUUGCACCAAUGACAAAGACCUUUUAAAUUCAAUACAGCAACUUAAACUAGCUGACAAUGAGGUUAAGAAGGAAAAUUAUAAAGCAGCUUUGAGUCACUAUGAAGGGUCUUUGGAGGUCUUAUUGAAAAUAUUAAAAAGUGAACCAAAAGGCAAGAGAAAAGAUUUACUACACCAAGAGGCAUAUAAAGCAUUGGAUAAAGCUGAAGAGAUUAAACGGUAUCAAUCUGUACCAAAGUUGACACAGAAUGAUAUACCAACUCUUGAUGAAGAAUCACAAAUGACAACUUUCCAUCAUGUCAAAGAAGACCGAGAGAACUCUGGAGGAGGAAAACAGAGGUUUUAAUGAGGAUUGGAAACUGCAAUAUUAUUUUUUGUCUGCUAAAGAUAAAAUGAUUUGCUUGCUUUGUGACACUGCAUAUCAACGUUGAAAAAUUUCUAUGCUCAUCAGCAUUAAGCCACUUCUAAAGGUCACAAAUAUUUCAGACUAGAAGAAGAGAUGUGAAAGGUUGCAUUAUGGGAAAGCAAAAGCAAAUGCAGUUAUUUCAAGCAGUGGUAAGACCUGGAAAUAAUGCCACAAAAGCAACUUAUAAAGUAGCUUAUAUGUGUGGGGAAAAAAAGGAAGCCAUUCCCCUGAAUGGCUUCCUUGGAAAUCAUAAAAGAAUGCAUUGUAGAAGUUGCAGGAUACUUAACCCACCAUAAGGUCUCAAAGUACAAACAACUGCCUCUUUCAAGGAGAACCAUAACUGACCAGCAGCAUGAAUUAACAGAACAACUUCACACAAUACUCCAAAAGGAAAAUAUAUAUUAUUUAAUUACUUUGCAUGAAUCCAUUAAUACAACUGACUCAGUGCAGGUUUUUAUACUUCAUUUGAGCCACAACAGAAUUGUAUUUUAACCUCAUGUAGUUGAUGUCUCCAAAGCUCCUAAAGAAUUACAGAUAGAAUUAAUUGAGCUCUCAGAAGAUGACAUUUUAAAGUUCUUAUUUAAUACUGAGAAAGAUCUCAUUGAAAUAUGGAAAAAUGCUUGUCCUUGGUAAUAAGCACAAAAAAUGCUUUCUUGCUUUUCAACCACUUAUUGCUGCAAAUCUACAUUCUCCUGCAUAACCAAAAUCAAGACACCAUUAAGGUCACAAAUGACAAAUACUCAUCUAGAGGAUCAGCUGAAACUGCAGAUUUCUAUGUUGCAACCAAAUAUCCAAAGGCUUUCCUACAGCUAACAGUCAACAGAGUCAUUAAAAGGCAUUUGACUGCAGCCAUGCUGGAGCACCGCCUUGAAGGGUUUUAGUCAAACAAAUUGACCCCAGGACUUAUUUCUUAAGCUUAGUACUUAUUUUAUCAGUCGCUUUUGCUGAACUGCUAAGUCACAGGGAUGUAAACACACCAACACCAGUUGUCAAGCGGUGAUAGGGGGACAAACACAUACACAGACACACACACAUAGACAUAUACACAUAUAUGUGUAUGCAUAUAUAUAUAUAUACAACAGGCUUCUUUCAAUUUCCAUCUACUAAAUCCACUCACAUGGCUUUGGUCAGCCCAAUGCUAUAGUAGAAGACACUUGCCCAAAGUGCCACACUGUGGGACUAAACCUGGGAGCAUGUACUUGGGAAGCAAGCUUCUUACCACACAGCCACACCCACACUUAUACACCAUUUUCAUGAGUAGAGAUAUGAAAACAUCCUUCAAAGAGAUAGGGCAACCUGGUUUUAUGUAACAACAUCAGUAUACAAUAUAUAACAUUCAAAAGUGGUGAGCUGGCAGAAUCAUUAGCAUGCAAGACAUUUCAUCUGCUUUUACAUUCAGGGUUCAAAUGCUGGAGGGGUUGACUCUGUCUUUUAUCCUUUCAAGGUUGAUAAAAUAAGUACUGGUUGAGCACUGGGGUUAGUGUAAUUGACUUAGUCCCUCCUCUAAAAUUUCUGGCCUUGUGCCAAAAUUUGACACAAAUUUAUAGCAUUUUUAUAACAUUCAUAUUACAUGGUCACAUGGGUUGGAUGGUGUAAUAAGAUCAUUCAUUAAUUCAUACUCACACAUACAUAUAACAUUUCAAUUAUAAUCACACACACACACACACACACACACACACACACAUGUUGAGAUAGGUAUUUACUUGCAAUUAAUAAACAUACAUUUAGCUUUGCUGUGCAAAUAGAAACCACACACAAUAGAAUCACAAGUAACUUGAGUAGUUUCACCUCUCGGGAGUGUUGAGUUCAUCUGUUCUACUGAAAAAGAGAGAGAAAGCAUUGCAUACUGCUUCAUAUGAAAAUGACUUUGAAUACACAGUUCACUUUCUAUGAAGUUGCAGGUUCUUUCCAAUUGCAUGACAUCUUUAGCAAGAGUCUUCUACUUGAAAAGUAGAUAGAGGUUGGUGAGAGAAAAUGCAGUAAGUAUUCAUCCAGCUGAUGCCUCCAUCAAAAGUAGACUUAGACUGAAAGGACAAACAUAUCUCUUAUCUUUAACUUGUUUGUCUUUAGAUUGCGGCCAUGCUGGGGCACCACCUUGAAGAAUUUUUUGUUAAAUGAGUUGACCCAGUGCUUUUUUUUUAAUAAGCCUGGUACUUAUUCUAUCAAUCUCUUUUGCUGAACUUUUAAGUUACAGGGACAUAAACACACCAACAUCAGUUGAAAAGAGGUGGUGGGGUAGAAAUGCAGACACAAUGUCAUACACACAUAUAUAUAAUAAGCUUCUUUCAGUAUCUGUCUACCCAAUCCACUCACAAGGCUUUGGUUGACCUGAGGUGUCACACAAUGGGACUGAACCCAAAAUCAUAUGGUUGGGAAGCAAGCUUUUUACCACACAGCUUUGCUUGCACCUAUAUAUAUAUAUAUAUAUAUAUAUAACUACUAUCACUGCUAACCAGUACCACUUCUACUUUACUACUAUCACCACAACAACUAAAAGUUCUGUCGCUAAUACUAAUACUACAAAUACUACUAAUGCCACCACCACUACUACUACUACUACUACUACUACUGUCAUCAUCAUCAUCAUCAUCAUCAUUUAUUGAGCUGACAGAAUUGUUAGCAUACCAUGCAAAAUACUUAAUGGUGUUUUCUCUGUCGCUAUGUUCUGAGUUCAAAUUCCGCCAAGGUCAACUUUGCCUUUCAUAUAUCAACAAGUCUGUGUCAUAUAUAUAUAAGACAUAUAUUUGUGUGUGCCCUCUAUGGACAACCAAACCGCUGGUGAGAUGGUACCAGCUCUCAAUGAUCUCAUAAUGCAUGUGCUCCAAAACAUUGCGCAAAACUUUAGCAACAGUCAAUGGCUCUGUGUGUGAACCUCCAUCUAAUGACGCUGUCGAUAAAGUCAACUGGGAUCUCUUGCAGCUGUUGCCAAGGCAAGAACAGUCUUUCACGUCCCUUGACACUAUCAUUGAUCAGGACCAGGCUUUAGUUUUUCCAACUGAGUUCCUGAACUCUCUACAACCAUCUGGGAUGUCACCUCACCACUUAACACUUAAAAAGGGGGCCCCAAUCAUGCUGCUAAAGAAUCUGGAUCCACCUCAUCUGUGCAAUGGCACCAGAAUGGUGGUGAAAACUAUGAGAGUGAAGAUGUUUUCAUUCCAUGCAUCCCGUUAAUCCCAUAUAACCGCCCCUUUGAAUUUAAACAGUUCCAGUUCCCAGUGAAACUGAGUUUCACUAUGUCAAUAAACAAAUCUCAAGGACAGUCUCUCAAGGUUGUUGGACUUCACCUUGCUUCUCUCAUGGGCAAUUAUAUGUAGGAUGUUCAUGAGUUGGAAGUCCCCAAAAAAUUUUCAUGUAAACACCAAUUAAAGGAAACACUUAAAACAUUGUAUAUUUAGAAGUUCUAGAUAAUUGAAGUGUGAUUCAUUUAGGGAUCUGUUUCAAUACAUUUGUUUAUAUUCAUGUCAUCCGAUAGAAUUUUUGUUAAAUGUAUUUAUUAAUAGUAGUACCACACUUUGCAGUGUAUAAUUUCUUUCACUUCAUUUUAUCCCUGUAAAACAAUCUGUUCCUUUUUGGGUUUGUAUUUAUGUGGGGUAUGUAUUUUGAUAUUGUGUGUGGAUUACAGUUAUACAGGAUACUCUGUAACUAUCCAUCCUUAAUAUAGCUAAGUGCACUAUCAUUUAAUACAUUGUGAUACCCAGCCUCCACAUCACUGGAUAUGAUGCAGUUACCCACCCUCUACAUUGCUAGGUAUGUUGUAAUUACCUAUCCUCCACAUCAUUGGAUAUGCUGUGGAUCUCACUUUAGGUAUUUUGUAACUCCUCUCACUUCACCUUCUUUAGAUAUAGUGUGACUACCCACAGUCCAAAUUUUGAGGUAUGCUGUAGCAGCCUGCCUCCACAUUGUUAGAUAUGUUGCUGUAGCUGUUCGCUUCCACAUUGCUUGUCAUACUGUGAUCACCCCCCAAACACACACAUUGUUAGACAUGGUAGAUAUGUGUAUUUGACAUUCAUGUUGUUUGGCAUAAAUAAACUGUAGGUUGAGACAUUAUAAAAAAAUAUCACCACAAUUAUCUCUCUGAUUAUCCUUGGUUAGUAAUACAUGAGUAGUGAAUGUAUUGAACAGUGGCAUAAUUUAUUAGUUUAAACACUACCAUAGACUUCAUUAUGUUCAAAACAACGUCCUGUUUCUCAGUUUAUUUCAACAAAUCAUGGUUGUAUAGUUACUAUUGUAAAGGGUGUCCAUUUAAAAAAAAAAAAAAUUUGUUUCAAAGGCAGUGGCAUGGUUGUGUGGUAAGAAGCUUGAUUCCUAACCACAUGGUUCUGAGUUCAGUACCACUGCAGGACACCUCAGGCCAAUCAAAGCCUUGUCAGUGGAUUUAGUGGGUGGAAACUGAAAGAAGCCAAGCAUAUAUAUAUAUAUAUAUAUAUAUAUAUAUAUAUCGUUGCCAGUGCCCCUGGACUGGCUUGUGCGGGUGGCACAUAAAAGACACCAUUUCGAGCGUGGCCAUUUUCGUGCGGGUGACACGUAAAAGCACCCACUACACUCUCUGAGUGGUUGGCGUUAGGAAGGGCAUCCAGCUGUAGAAACUCUGCCAAAUUAGAUUGGAGCCUGGUGUUGCCAUCCGGUUUCACCAGUCCUCAGUCAAAUCGUCCAACCCAUGCUAGCAUGGAAAGCGGACGUUAAAUGAUGAUGAUGAUGAUGAUGAUAUAUAUAUAAUGCAUGUGUGUGUGUGUCUUUGUAUCUGUGUUUGUCUACUACCACUGCUUGACAACUGGUUUUGUGUUUAUGUUCCCUUAACUUAGCAGUUCGGCAAAAAAGACCAAUAGAAUAAGUACCCAGUUUUUAAAAAAUUAUAUAUAAGUACUAGGGUUGAUUCAUUUGACAAAAAAAUGUUUUUCAGGGUAAUACCCCAGCAUGGCUGCAGUCUAAUGACUGAAACAAGUAAAAGAUAAAUCUGAUUUUGCAAAAACACCUAACCUUUAGCAACAUUCAAAGUGAUUAUAAAGAUGUUAUUUUGAAGCCAUACAAAAAUAAAAAAUAUCCACAGUAUAGAAAACUAGACAGACAUGCCAAAAUAGGUAACCCUGGUAGAUUAUACUGAAGAAGUAUGAGGUGAAAUAAACUGGUCUUCCAUUUUAGACAGAUAUGUCAUUUUGUUGCUCAUCUAAUAAUCUUGAAAACAAGUGAUGUAUAGUUUCAAAAAUCUUAGUUGUGAAAUAUUACUAAUACUAGCAUACCCAUGUCAUCAAAAAUAUCAGCAGUUUUAUUAGUGACUAAAAAUGGUGCAUCAAAACAUUAAAUGAAACUACUGAUAAAUGUCAACAAUUAUAUGUACAUACAUAGAACUGAAGCAUUUGAACAAUCAGAUAUGGGUAUAAUGCCUCAGUUGGAAAUAUUUCAUCUAUGUGUGUGUCCUCUCGUGCGUGUGUGUGUGUGAAACAUCCACUAAUACAGGGGUUUUGUUGAACGAAUCAACAGUUGAUGCCAGUACUUUUUUUAGCCUGGUACUUAUUUUAUCACUCUCUUUUACCAAACUGCAAAGUUAUGGGGGCGUAAACAAACCACAAGGUCAUGGGGGAUAAAUGCAGGCACAAAAACACACACACAGGUGUAUAUACAACAGGUUCCUUUUAGUUUCUGUCUACCAAAUCCACUCAAGGCUUUGGUCAGCCUGGGGCUAUAGUAUGAUUGAGAUGCAAACUUCUAACCACACUGCCAUACACACAUGUGUAAAUACACACACACAUGCACAUAUAUCAAUGCAUGUGCAUACAUAUACAUAAGUGUGUGUAUGUGAAUGUGUUAUCUUUUACUUGGAAAAAUAUAUAAGGGUUUCCUAAGCAAGGCAAGAUUAAAAGAAUAAACUAAAAUGAAAGAAAAAUAAAGACAAGGCAAAAUCUAUAAAUGCUACAUGAACUAUAUUUUGAAAACAAAAGAGUGUAAAUAUGUAAUUUCAUAUAUAUUUUUAUGUGUGUAUGCAAUUGUUAAAAUAAAUAUUAUUACGAUAAAAAUU